GCCCGGGUGGCGUAACUGGCAGGCGCAGAGGGCUUAAACCCCUCAGCUCUUCGGAGCGUGCGGGUUCGAAUCCCGCCCCGGGCA
rnacentral:tRNA from 1 species